CACCGCUACCAGUAAUUUACUGCAGUUGGACCGUCAGGUGAUUGGUCGCUGUAUUUGACGUAAUUAACCUACAAGCCACAUGAUCCGUUUUCGUUCCACACAUUCACUAACUUAAGAGAUGAUAGAAGCGUGUGUUCUUUUAUAAUAAAAGUCGAUGAUCUUGAACUCCUCCCAACUAUUUCAUGUACUAAUUAAUAUUAUAAGUUUAUAAAAUUAUGUAUUCGGUAAAAGGGGGUUUCGUAUUCAGUCAGUAAGAAAAUAUAAUUUUAACUUUAUUGCUACGGUAAUCUGUCUGGUGCUGGCACUUAGAAACUACAUGACGGAUCUGUUUGAUUUUGUGCUGUUCUCAGAACAGCGUAUUUUACACGUGAGUUUGGAAAAGUACUAGGCCUAAAGUUUUCACAUGGAAACGCUUGGUAGUAUGGCAGUGAGGCUGCUACGACGAAACCGGAAGUAUGACUUUAAUAAGGCCAGUAAAAAAAAUUCACCGAAGAACUCGUGGGUGACAAUUCUUAAAAUUGAAGAGCUCCAGUGACGGAGGUAUUCUCGACCCUGAUGAUCAACUGAAUUAUGUUGCUGACGAUCGUGAACAGAUUAUUGCCAUUUAUAAGGAGGAUCCAUCAUCUUGUCCACCACGUAACAAUGGAAAUGACAUCAGAGCAGGUUUUGUUGACACUGAUAGUCCAGUUGUAUUUAGUGGAAACAAAGUGGACAUUGUCCAGGAGGAUGAGGAAUCUUGCAGUGCUACAGAUGUAGAGAUAACUGCAGCUCAGAUUUCU